GACCGCAUAGCGCAGUGGAUU
rnacentral:siRNA from 1 species